rnacentral:rRNA from 1 species
GACGAACGCUGGCGGCGUGCCUAAUACAUGCAAGUAGAACGCUGAAGGAGGAGCUUGCUUCUCUGGAUGAGUUGCGAACGGGUGAGUAACGCGUAGGUAACCUGCCUGGUAGCGGGGGAUAACUAUUGGAAACGAUAGCUAAUACCGCAUAAUAGUAGAUGUUGCAUGACAUUUGCUUAAAAGGUGCAAUUGCAUCACUACCAGAUGGACCUGCGUUGUAUUAGCUAGUUGGUGAGGUAACGGCUCACCAAGGCGACGAUACAUAGCCGACCUGAGAGGGUGAUCGGCCACACUGGGACUGAGACACGGCCCAGACUCCUACGGGAGGCAGCAGUAGGGAAUCUUCGGCAAUGGACGGAAGUCUGACCGAGCAACGCCGCGUGAGUGAAGAAGGUUUUCGGAUCGUAAAGCUUCUGUUGUAAGAGAAGGACGAGUGUUAAAGUGGAAAGUUCACACUGUGACGGUAUCUUACCAGAAAGGACGG